rnacentral:misc_RNA from 1 species
GAUGAAGAACGCAGCGAAAUGCGAUAAGUAAUGUGAAUUGCAGAAUUCAGUGAAUCAUCGAGUUUUUGAACGCAUAUUGCGCCCUCUGGUAUUCCGGGGGGCAUGCCUGUUCGAGCGUCAUUAAAUAACCCUCAAGCAUAGCUUGGUGUUGGGCUUUUUUACGUCCUUGACUGGGAUGGUCCUAAAAAUUAGUGGCGAUGGCUUUUUUACUUUCAAGCGUAGUAAAUCUCGUCUUGCUAAAGAGGAAAAAGAUUUUUUUUCUGCCAAAAAUUUUAACAUUUAAAGUUGACCUCGGAUCAGGUAGGAUUACCCGCUGAACUUAAGCAUAUCAAUAAGCGGAGGA